rnacentral:rRNA from 1 species
CAAGGAAUCUUCCGCAAUGGGCGAAAGCCUGACGGAGCAACGCCGCGUGUGGGAUGACGCCUGUCGGGGUGUAAACCACUUUUUUCAGGGAAGAAGCACUGACGGUACCUGAGGAAUAAGGACCGGCUAACUACGUGCCAGCAGCCGCGGUAAUACGUAGGGUCCGAGCGUUGUCCGGAGUUACUGGGCGUAAAGCGCGCGCAGGCGGCGGUGUAAGCAUGGCGUGAAAGCCCCAGGCUUAACCUGGGAGGGUCGUCGUGGACUGCACCGCUUGAGGGCGGUGGGGGCUGGUGGAAUGCCUGGUGUAGUGGUGAAAUGCGUAGAGAUCAGGCGAAACACCCGUGGCGAAGGCGGCCAGCUGGGCCGUCACUGACGCUGAGGCGCGAAGGCGUGGGGAGCGAACGGG